CUGGAGACCGGAGUUGUUCGGAGGGGAUUCGUUAUGAUGUAGAAACGAGACCAGAUCCAACCUGACUGGGCCUGACUUAGCUGGACUGGGUCUAGUGCGAGGCCUCAGCUUUUGGUGACCAUUUUGAGAGCCACCUGGACAUUCCACCUACUCCAGAUUCUGCAGACAGGAUCCUGGGAAAACUUGCAGAAACUGGCAAAGGGUGUCUUAAUCAAAUUCAGCUAUCCCAGAUCUCGGUGUUGCCCGGUUAAGAGAGAAAGCUCUCAAGACUGCAGCCUAGAUUUGCUGGAUAAUGAAAGGAGAAAGGGGUGGCAAAUAGAAGAAAUCAGCAUUUUGAAAAAGCCCUCCGAGUGCUUUCUGUAUCCACUAACCUGCUUGUCUACAUGGUCUGGAAGGUGUACGUGAAUGUCUCUUGGAAAUUAGGACCAGAUGGCAAGGAGAAUAAGAAUGCAAGAAAAGCCAAAUGCAGACUAAAGAGAGGAGAGACAAAAGUUGAAAAGGAAGCCUACCUUACUUUCCCUUGCCAGACUUCUUGCUUGGAGGUUCAGAACCCACCAUACCAGAGGAGGAGUGUGUGGGUAGGUAAAGAGAAGACCCAAGGUGCACAGACCUCCCUUAUGCUACAAGGGGUUGCCAAAUCAAGGUAACAGGGUAAAGUAGAGAGAGAAAAGGUCUGGUUUGCACCCCUGAGCCUUUGUGCAGUAGACUCUGAGUUGAGAACUGCUGUCUACAUGAUGGAGCUCAGGAUG